rnacentral:rRNA from 1 species
AUAGGUCUGGGAUACCACUUGGAAACAGGUGCUAAUACCGGAUAAGAAAGCAGAUCGCAUGAUCUAAGCUUUUAAAAAGGCGGCGUAAGCUGUCGCUAUGGGAUCGGCCCGCGGUGCAUUAGCUAGUUGGUAAGGUAAAGGCUUACCAAGGCGAUGAUGCAUAGCCCGAGUUGAGAGACUGAUCGGGCCACAUUGGGGACUGAGACACGGGGUCCCAAACUCCUACGGGGGGAGGGGCAGCAGUAGGGGGAAUCUUCCACAAUGGACGCAAGUCUGAUGGAGCAACGCCGCGUGAGUGAAGAAGGUUUUCGGAUCGUAAAGCUCUGUUGUUGGUGAAGAAGGAUAGAGGUAGUAACUGGCCUUUAUUUGACGGUAAUCAACCAGAAAGUCACGGCUAACUACGUGCCAGCAGCCGCGGUAAU